GCUUAAUAUAUCUUCGUUAAAUGCUUGGGAAGCGGUUGAUUGCACAGUGAAGCAGCUGAUGGUUCUUGCUGUCUUCUGUUUUGGCUUCAGUGAAGGGAUAAAGGGGGGGGCCUUUUAACAGAGGUAGGAAAAUAAGCAAAUAUGUAAAAAGCCCUGGGGAGUUUGUGAACCCUUGGAUGUUUGCUCAGGGUUUGUUACAGCCCUGAACUAGGCUAUCGUUUUGGUAGAAGCAUUGUACUGUGAGAUUAGUGUGGUGACACCCCAGCCACAGGGUUACUUCAGCCUCAGAGCAGUGUGACUAUAUUAAAGCUAGUGAGUGCCUAUGGCAUGUUGCUCACUCCAGUGCUGCAGCUAGUUUUUGUACUGUAACUUACUCUGGGCAGGGGGAGGGCCAGACCGUGCCUAAUACAAGGUAAAGAUUUUCCUGAAGGUUUUAUGUAAGUCAGGAGAGAAUUAUUUGUGCUUUAAAGUACCAAUGCUUCAGGAACAAAAGUAAAGGAGCCCAGAGAGGCUAGCAGAGAGCUAGUCACACCUUUGAUCUACCCUUAUCUUAUCAAAUGGUACAGAUAUAAGGCCUCUCCAGAGACUGGCUGGGUGACAAGCUGUUGGUUGUGUAAAGACUGAGCCUGUGAGUCUCAGAGUUCCUUAAGUGUUACAGAUCUAUUGUUCCUCAUCUAUAGAGGAUCCAUCUUCUACUGCUGAACUUGGUAAUAUCAACAACAGCUUUGGGAAUGAUGGCUGAUCAGGACAGGAGGACCUUUUACCAGGAAAUUAUUUGAAAGGAUAAUAGCGGUAUCUCUGCCUCCUUGUGAUCAAGGCAAAUAUUGAAAACUCAUCUCUUCAGCCUGGAUACGAGAUGACUGUGUACGACUGAUGUCCUCAUGCUUAGCCCAUGCUCCUCUUCCUCAUUUUGCAGCGUAGAGAGUGUGGAGCAUGCUGGACCCUGCUGUUAAGUUUGUUUGCUGUGUGGACUGGGUUCCUGGCUUCCCUGCUGUGGAAUGCAGGCUUAGCGUACGCAGGCUUGUACCUGACGCAAACUGGAACUGAGUUAUAAUCUUCCUUAAAGUGUACAUGUUCACUGUGUACACAGAACUGCAAGUUGAUCACUUGUUAUAUCACAUUCUCCCCGUUGUCAAAAAGCUGAGUUCGUGUCAUUCCACAAAAAGAAAGCUGCUUCUGAGGAGCUGAUGUUAUAUUAUUCAAGAGCGAUGCAGUACACUAAAACGAAGAAAAUUUGUUUUCUCUCUGGAACGAGGCAACUUGCAAACCUUGAUGUGAACAUCUAAAACACACAGAUCACCCCCCGUAUUCACUUAGCCUCCAUGAAUGACCUUUUCAAGAAUAAAGGUUGUGAAGCACAACUGUGAUUUUUUGUC
rnacentral:lncRNA from 1 species